UGCCAGUCCCACACCACGGGCGUGCA
rnacentral:piRNA from 1 species